AGGAAUAGUAAACCCUUACUUAACUUCUCUUUACAUUCUAUUCAUUAAUAGAACAAAAAAUGACCACAUAUAGGUCUAAUAACUUUAUUUUUUCCCCGCAUGAUGCUUUCAUGUGAGCAUGUGUCUGGACAGCUUCUGACUAUUACUAUUUUUUUCCUAAUUGUACUGACAAAAGAACUACGAAACCCCAUGAAGGAACAGUUUUCUACAUGUCAUUUUCAGAUCAUAUGAGCAUGUACGCAUACGCCACAGGCAUGAUUCCAAGUGGAAUAGGGUUAAGCCCAUGUUUCAGUCGCUGUCACACGAUGCCGAAAGUUUAUCAGUUUCUUAAUCGUGAUGGAAGAACAAGUGGUCCUCGUAUGCCACACCUUUCUUUACAUUUAUGUCAAUACUUCUGCUAUACAACAUAUGCAGCUAAAAUUACUUGCUUAAGCUUCAGGAUAUGGCAAGUGCAAUAACUAUCUCAUGCUUGAAGUUGGUCUGCGCAUGCUUUCCACUCUGUGCCUCAUCUUCCCCUUAGAGGAAAUGGACUUCUUGGUGUCUACUUUACUCUCCAUUACUGAAUCCCAUUGUGGCACUCCACUCUGGCAUCCACUUGCUUGGACAUGCUCCUAUCCUCCCACCUCCAUACCUCUUUCCUUUCACUUGCCUGUUUCUUCUUCUUUACUCUACCAUUUGUAGGUCUGCUUCCCAUUUGUAUUGUAUGCUUACACGAAUGCAUAAAGUGUGCUAUAACCACCACAUAUGAAAAUCAACACCCUCUAGUCAAGCUGUGUUGUAGUGGGUCUCAGCUGUGAUCUGCUAGAUAUGAAAACCUCAUGCUCUCUAGUGUCGAUUGAUCUUACGAGGUAAGAUAGAAUUAUCCCAUACUAUCAUCAGCCUAAGUUGCCGCCGCACUGCGUUGGUGCACUUAUUAACAGAUUUCACAAAUAUUCAUAGAUCACAUAUGGCAUGCGGCCUCCUUUGUCUCAAUUAUUUUCACACCAUAGGCUGCAGACAUGUGACUCCAGUAGUCUAGAAGAUUUGGAGAGGUAAAAAAAAUUUAAGAGGCAUCACUCCAUCAGGCUCUGUAAUGGCCUAUAGAAUCACUUGAAAGCAUGUAGAGUAAUUGCAAGUCUGGUUUCUGUGAAUAAGACAGGAUGAGUAAUGGAAUUAUGGGAAAAUUGCACUAGUAUAAAGAACAAAAAUCAAAUAACUCUCUCGAAUCUGUUUCUAACUCAGGCUACAGAAACAUGAAAUGGAUAUUCUAUCUCGAACACAGAGUGGUCUUGAAAUUUAUGCUUUGGAAAA